rnacentral:rRNA from 1 species
ACGGAAGGCAGCAGUGGGGGAUAUUGCACAAUGGGGGAAACCCUGAUGCGGCGACGCCGCGUGAGUGAUGAAGUAUUUCGGUAUGUAAAGCUCUAUCAGCAGGAAAGAUAAUGACGGUACCUGACCAAGAAGCACCGGCUAAAUACGUGCCAGCAGCCGCGGUAAUACGUAUGGUGCAAGCGUUAUCCGGAUUUACUGGGUGUAAAGGGAGCGCAGACGGCAUGGCAAGCCAGAUGUGAAAGGCAGGGGCUCAACUCCUGGACUGCAUUUGGAACUGUCAAGCUAGAGUAUCGGAGAGGUAAGUGGAAUUCCUAGUGUAGCGGUGAAAUGCGUAGAUAUUAGGAGGAACACCAGCGGCGAAGGCGGCUUACUGGACGAUAACUGACGUUGAGGCUCGAAAGCGCGGGGAGCAAACAGGAUUAGAUACCCUGGUA